rnacentral:rRNA from 1 species
UCUUAAAGUGUAAUAUUUUAAGUUCAAUCUGCUCACUGAAAUAUUUUAAAGAGCCGCAGUAUUUUAACUGUGCAAAGGUAGCAUAAUCAAUAGUUUUUUAAUUGAAAACUGGAAUGAAAGAUUAGACGAGAAAUUAACUUUUUUUAUUAUUUAAAUUGAAUUUAAUUUUUAAGUUAAAAAUCUUAAAUAAAAUUAAGGGACGAGAAGACCCUAUAGAUUUUUAUAUAUUAAUGUAUAAAUUAGGUUGUAUUUAUAUAGAGAUAUAUUUAAUUGGGGCGAUUUUGUAAAAUAAAUAACUUAAAUAUGUGAAACCAUGAAUGAUUGAAUAUUCUGAUCUAAAAUUUUUAAAUAAAAGAGUAAAUUACCUUAGGGAUAACAGGGUAAUUUUUUUUAAGAGUUCAUAUUUAAAGAAAAGCUUACUACCUCGAUGUUGAAUUAAGAUUAUGUGUUGGAGUAGAAGAUAACAUAAUUAGUCUGUUCGACUAUUAAAUUC